GAUGAACGCUAGCGAUAGGCCUAACACAUGCAAGUCGAGGGGCAGCAUAGAGUAGCAAUACUUUGAUGGCGACCGGCGCACGGGUGAGUAACACGUAUGCAACCUACCUACAUCAGGGGAAUAACCCGGAGAAAUUCGGACUAAUACCGCAUAAUACAGGGAUGCCGCAUGGCAAUAUUUGUUAAGGAUUUAUCGGAUGUAGAUGGGCAUGCGUUCCAUUAGCUAGUUGGUAAGGUAACGGCUUACCAAGGCAACGAUGGAUAGGGGAACUGAGAGGUUUGUCCCCCACACUGGAACUGAGACACGGACCAGACUCCUACGGGAGGCAGCAGGGAGGAAUAUUGGUCAAUGGACGAGAGUUUGAACCAGCCAAAUCGCGUGAAGGAAGACUGCCCUACGGGUUGUAAACUUCUUUUGUACAGGAAUAAAAGACAUUACGUGUAAUGUAUUGCAUGUACUGUACGAAUAAGCAUCGGCUAACUCCGUGCCAGCCGCCGCCGUAA
rnacentral:rRNA from 1 species